rnacentral:rRNA from 1 species
AACUGCUUGUACCUUGACGGUACCUAACCAGAAAGCCACGGCUAACUACGUGCCAGCAGCCGCGGUAAUACGUAGGUGGCAAGCGUUAUCCGGAAUUAUUGGGCGUAAAGCGCGCGCAGGCGGUUUCUUAAGUCUGAUGUGAAAGCCCACGGCUCAACCGUGGAGGGUCAUUGGAAACUGGGGAACUUGAGUGCAGAAGAGAAAAGCGGAAUUCCACGUGUAGCGGUGAAAUGCGUAGAGAUGUGGAGGAACACCAGUGGCGAAGGCGGCUUUUUGGUCUGUAACUGACGCUGAGGCGCGAAAGCGUGGGGAGCAAACAGGAUUAGAUACCCUGGUAGUCCACG